rnacentral:rRNA from 1 species
GUACCAUAUCAUACCACCUUGUCAAAGCUUGAUCUCAUCAGAUCUCAGAAGCUAAUUAAAGCCAGGCCUGGUUAGUAGUUUUGGAUGGGAGACUGCUGGUAAUACC